GGUGGUGUAGUGGUAGCACGCACCUCCUGUGUGGGUGAAACGCGGGUUCAAUUCUCGCCUGCGCUCG